GCAAGGGUGGUCGAGUGGUUAAUGGCACCGGGCUGUAAACCCGGCCGGCGAAAGUCGUACGUAGGUUCGAAUCCUACCCCUUGCACCA
rnacentral:tRNA from 2 species